CGACGGGUGGAUUCAUAAAGUUGGUGCUUAUCGAAAGCAGAAAAUCCUUCUCUUUGUAAAUUUGCAUCAUUUUUAUCCUGCUGCUAACUUCUCCUAUGCAUUCUCUUCUCCGCUUUCAAUUUUUGUUCGGCUGUUACCUCUCCGAAGCUGACAAGAGCUAUCCAACAAAGAGUGCAGAGUUAAUAACUUGUAAGGCAUGCCCAAGGGUUUCAUAAUGUAGCAGGAGAAAAAGAACAUAGUGCAUACAUGUCAGAAGAGUUUUUUGAUGCAAAACUCAUACAUCUUGGCUAAUAUCAGGUACUAAAUUUAGUCAAUAAUUAAUGUCAGAUUAUCUAAUAUAAAUAUAUCCUAAUUUACAAUAACAUAUAUACUCCCAACAAGGUUAUUUUGAAAUAAUCGUUGGUUAUUUAAAUAACCCAAGAUCGAACAAGCCUUUGCAAAUCCACGCUAUGGUGAUUUUCAUGUUUAUUAUGCAUUCCAUUUAUAACAGAAUUACAAUAAAAUUGAAAAGCUAUGUUGAGCUGCAUUUUCAGUUUGUUUUCUUAUCUGAAUCGAUAAAUCAACCAACGAGCAGUGAAUUAAUGGCGGAGAAAAGCUUCAAAUACGUCAUCCUAGGCGGCAACACUGGUUUAAGUUGCACAAUUUCGAUAUUAUCGUACUCUAAUUAAGUUUGAUAUAGGACGAAGAUAUUGAAUCCAUUGUAUACCUUAAUUAUGUUAUGCUCAGGUGAUAUCAUAUAUCAAUAUUU